rnacentral:piRNA from 1 species
UGAACGGAUGUAUGGGAACCCAUUGGUGAA